GGGGUCUAAUACAGCGGACUCAUCCGUCUCGCGCUCCGCGUCUAAAGCUGGAGGCGCGGUGUCGCUGCGUUCGGGGGACGAAUUGUCUGAAUUAAUUGGGUCGAUGUCAUCUGACCCAUCUGAUACCUCCUCUGAGUCCGAGUCGGAGUCGGACGGAUCAGAUAGGGCUUUUGCCCUCUUCCAAGUCCGCACCGUUUUUGCCCGGCGGGGGGCUCUUUUACGUGGGAGCACCACGUCAUCAAUUUCAACAGGGCGCAAC